rnacentral:rRNA from 1 species
UACGUAGGGUGCGAGCGUUGUCCGGAAUUAUUGGGCGUAAAGAGCUCGUAGGCGGUCUGUCGCGUCGGUCGUGAAAACUUGGGGCUUAACCCUGAGCUUGCGGUCGAUACGGGCAUGACUGGAGUUCGGUAGGGGGAGACUGGAAUUCCUGGUGUAGCGGUGAAAUGCGCAGAUAUCAGGAGGAACACCGAUGGCGAAGGCAGGUCUCUGGGCCACUACUGACGCUGAGAAGCGAAAGCAUGGGGAGCGAACAGG